rnacentral:miRNA from 1 species
UUAAUUAUUAUAUAGAUCAAGGAU